rnacentral:rRNA from 1 species
AGGUUAACCGUAUAGGGGAGCCGUAGGGAAACCGAGUCUUAACUGGGCGAAUGAGUUGCAGGGUAUAGACCCGAAACCCGGUGAUCUAUCCAUGGGCAGGUUGAAGGUUGGGUAACACUAACUGGAGGACCGAACCGACUAAUGUUGAAAAAUUAGCGGAUGACUUGUGGAUGGGGGUGAAAGGCCAAUCAAACCGGGAGAUAGCUGGUUCUCCCCGAAAGCUAUUUAGGUAGCGCCUCGUGAACUCAUCUUCGGGGGUAGAGCACUGUUUCGACUAGGGGGUCAUCCCGACUUACCAACUCGAUGCAAACUGCGAAUACCGAAGAAUGUUAUCACGGGAGACACACGGCGGGUGCUAACGUCCGUCGUGAAGAGGGAAACAACCCAGACCGCCAGCUAAGGUCCCAAAGUCAUGGUUAAGUGGGAAACGAAGUGGGAAGGCUCAGACAGCCAGGAUGUUGGCUUAGAAGCAGCCAUCAUUUAAAGAAAGCGUAAUAGCUCACUGGUCGAGUCGGCCCGCGCGGAAGAUGUAACGGGGCUAAACCAUGCACCGAAGCUGCGGCAGCGACAC